UACGGGGGGGGCAAGCGUUGUUCGGAAUUACUGGGCGUAAAGGGCUCGUAGGUGGCCUGUUAAGUCAGACGUGAAAUCCCUCGGCUUAACCGGGGAACUGCGUCUGAUACUGGAUGGCUUGAGUUCGGGAGAGGGAUGCGGAAUUCCAGGUGUAGCGGUGAAAUGCGUAGAUAUCUGGAGGAACACCGGUGGCGAAGGCGGCAUCCUGGACCGACACUGACACUGAGGAGCGAAAGCCAGGGGAGCAAACAGG
rnacentral:rRNA from 1 species